UGCCAAAUACAGCCAUGUUCUGAGUCCCUGGGGUUAGGACUUUAAAAUAUGAAUUUAUGAAAGGACACAUUUCAAGACAUUGCUUUCCUUAUCAGGGGAUGACCCAGAACACACCUCGUUUUCCAACUCUUUUAGAGCAUUGGUACAAUUGAGCUGUUAUAUAACAAGUAAGCCUGUAAGUAGCCAGUCACCUACAGUGAUUUAAGUUUAUAAAGGAUGGGAAAGAAGAAAGAUUUGGAAGAAUGAUAGCCAAUCAAAUCUCAGAGAAGCAAUGAAUGACUCUCUGGACAGAAGAGUAAAAACUAGAGAGAGGAAAACAGAAGGAUGAAGAUGAUAACACACUUAGAGAAAAAAAAGUCACACAGAGAGAGAGAGAGAGAGAGAGAGAGAGACACAGGCAGAGGGAGAAGCAGGCUCCAUGCACCGGGAGCCCGACGUGGGAUUCGAUCCCGGGUCUCCAGGAUCGCGCCCUGGGCCAAAGGCAGGCGCUAAACCGCUGCACCACCCAGGGAUCCCCUCACUGAGCAUUUCAACAUGUCUCCUGGCUUCCCUGAUUAGGAAGUAAGGCAGAAAUGGACUUAUGGAGGACUGAAGAUGAUGGGGCAAGAUGGAACACUGUUCACUUUCUAAGAGAAAACAGAUCUCCCUCUGCUGUGAUUUGAACUAAAGACCUUCUGAUCCCCAGAGACCUGCUCCUUCACAAGACCUCAAAAGAGUUUACUUGGAAUAAAUGAAUCUGAUUAAUCUAAUUUAUAUCAAAAAUAGCACAGAUGUGCCCUGAAUUUUUAGGGGAAGGAUGAAUCAGCAGUCCUGUCCAUCAUAAUGGCUGCAUUUUUUAGGCUUUCAAACACAGAGACGAUCUUUGCUUACUGAGGGAUAAGUCCUGCUAAUUGCAUGGCAUCUCUUAGGAUUUGGGUCAAAAUAAACAGUCUAUUUUUCUGACUUUUUAAAGAGAAGCUAUGAUCUUGUUUCCAUGCUUCUCUACCUUGCCUUGUCCUGACCUAUAAAAAUAACUUUGACAGAACAAAGAACUAGAACUAAAUAGAUUGUUUGUGAGAACGUCCUAUGAAUAGUUGUAUUUCCCCAUACUUUGAUUUUUCCUCUUAAGAUUUGUAUAUAUUAUUCUGUUUUACAUUUCCAUUCUCACAUCUGCUUUUCUGAGUGGCCACUGCCUUUAGAAGCAUCAAUAUAUAACCAUAGAAUAUAAAGUUUUAUACUACAUUCAACUUUGAUAUAUUUUGAAUAAGGAGCCCUUCUCUUAAUUGCACACUUACCAUUUCAUGAAUGUAGUUAUCCUCUUCGCUGACUGACCUAUUAUCCACCACCACCACCUUCACCAUCAUUAUCACAACCUCCCCAAUUUCUCUAUUUUCAUUUUAUCCUUUGUAUACUUCUUCCUUUACAUAACUUUUGUCUUGUUCACGCUUUUGAACUUUAAGGCUUUCACACCAAACUGACAAACUGAUUUACGUUCCAUUUUGAAAAGCAAAUUUAUAUCCCUGUCUUUUGUGAUUCCCUUUCUGGCUUAAUAUGCACAGGUCUAAAAACAGCUCUACAAUUAAAUUAAGAAUAUUAAAAUAUUUUUCAUUGGGAAAAUUUUUUCAUCUCCAACUCUGAUCUAUAACAAAACAGAUACCAAGGAAGGGGUAUAAUUCUUUUGAUAGUGGUCCUUUUUAAUGCUGAACUAAAGAAGGGAAGUGAAGGAGAUGAUAAAGCACUCAGCAACUCAAAGAAAGAGAAACUAAGUGCAAGGAGUAUUCAAAUGAAGGAUAAGUCAGUUCCAGUCAGGAACAUCAAGAAGAGCCUCCUGAUGUUGCUCUAUUUUGGUUUGAUCAUUGAUGAAUAGAUAGGGUUCAAGUGCAAGACACGUGUAGCACUUGGCCAGCUUCAGAUUUCUUAAAGCUGCUGACAGAUGAUAUUCUCAAAGAGAAAUGUGUACCAGAGUCAAAAGGUGGAACAAAUCAGAAUGGUAAGCAGUAUUAAUCAGCAGUCCUACUCAG